UACGUAGGGGGCAAGCGUUAUCCGGAUUUACUGGGUGUAAAGGGAGCGUAGACGGCUGUGCAAGUCUGAAGUGAAAGCCCGCGGCUUAACCGCGGAACCGCUUUGGAAACUGCAUAGCUAGAGUGCUGGAGAGGUAAGCGGAAUUCCUGGUGUAGCGGUGAAAUGCGUAGAUAUCAGGAGGAACACCGGUGGCGAAGGCGGCUUACUGGACAGUCACUGACGUUGAGGCUCGAAAGCGUGGGGAGCAAACAGG
rnacentral:rRNA from 1 species